UGUGGGAGCUGGGUUGCCUGCGAUGGUAUCGCCUCGGUUUAAUGACAGACCGAGUCGCCUGUAUCGCAGGCAAGCCAGCUCCCACA
rnacentral:misc_RNA from 1 species